GCAGGUAAGAAAAGGAUCAAGAAUCGUAAAGCCGCUCCCGACAUCGGCUGUUAUUCAGGAACUGAGGCUACAAACGUAAGAACUGACGAAAGAGUGCUGCCAACGCCAACUUGCUCAUACCUGAAGGCGCGAGCGGUGACGGCGUGGAGGCACGGUGGGGACCGUGGGGGCGAGCUGUCCGUCUUCUGCUGGUAGGCCGGCCACCACGACCAAGACGUCGACGACGACGACGACGACGACGACGACGACGCCAGCGCUGCCAAGCGGCAGGGACCGUACAAACAAACUGUACAACACGGAAAAACAAAUUAUAUAUAUAUACACACACACAAAACACACACAAACACAAAUAUAAAUAUAUAUAUAUAAUACAGGAUAUAUACAUGAAAUAUAAUUCUAACAUAAUAGAUAAAACACAUGGACGUUUUUUUAAAAAUAAAUAAAAUAAAAUGGCUUGGUAUUUUGAACAUGACAGAAAGUGUGUACGCGCUGAGGAAGAGAUGAAGCAUCUUCCUGUUUUGCGAUGCGGUUGUGUGGUGCAAUUCCAGCCUUUGUUUUAUUUUUUAUUUUAUUUUUCCUCCCGCAAGAGCGCAUUUUUUUUGUUUAGAGAAGAGAGAGUUGUGGGCUGUUAUCAACCCGAAAGGAUGGAGCAAAUGGCCUUUCUUUUUCUGUUUUAUGUUUAACGAGUUAAUUCUUUAGUUAUUAAUGUGAAGCGACUUUGUACAAGAGAUGGAAAAAAAAAUUAUGAGAGUGGGUAACGAACUAAGCUAGAGUGCGAAGAGAUUUACGUUUAAUGCUAUUCUAUGCAAAUAAAAAAGGAAAAAUGUUAUAAAUACUAUUAUCAUUAUAUUAUAAUUAUUAUAAUUAUUGUGGUUAUUAUGAUUAUUGCUGUUUUGAGUUACACGUUUUGAGCCUUAGUAUACACGUAAACGAGCUAAUUCUACUGCUUUUAUUUAGCAGCACUCAGCGUUCUGGGCUGCGGGCUGACCUG